GAUGAACGCUGGCGGCGCGCCUAACACAUGCAAGUCGAACGAUUAAAGCACCUUCGGGUGUGUAUAAAGUGGCGAACGGCUGAGUAACACGUGGGCAACCUGCCCCUUUCAUUGGGAUAGCCACGGGAAACCGUGGAUAAUACCGAAUACUUCGAGACUUCCGCAUGGAAGACUCGAGAAAGCUCCGGCGGAGAGGGAUGGGCCCGCGGCCUGUUAGCUUGUUGGUGGGGUAACGGCCUACCAAGGCAAUGAUGGGUAGCUGGGUUGAGAGACCGACCAGCCAGAUUGGGACUGAGACACGGCCCAGACUCCUACGGGAGGCAGCAGUGGGGAAUCUUGCACAAUGGGCGAAAGCCUGAUGCAGCGACGCCGCGUGCGGGAUGAAGGCCUUCGGGUUGUAAACCGCUUUCAGCAGGGACGAGGCGAAAGUGACGGUACCUGCAGAAGAGGCCCCGGCUAACUACGUG
rnacentral:rRNA from 1 species